CAAGCAUUUUGCAGACUACAAGCAUACUCCAAGAAGCCAAACUUCACACCUCCAAACUUUAUUUGGAUUAAAUACUGUUCUGCUAGAUAGAAGCAGUGAUUCUGCUCAUCAGACAUACUGCUGCCUCAUCAAGAAUUGCUAUGUUUAUUUUGCCAGAGGCUGUAUCUUCAGAAAGAUGAAACACCUGGAUUUUUUUGCAUCAUCAAGACAUGAAUCAAUGCCAUCCCUAUCCUAGCAUCGCUACCCUUCAGAAGACCCAAGAUAAAUACCAGAACACCACUAAAAACCAUCCAAGAUAAAUACCAGAAGUUAAAAAAAAAACAGAAAAAGAAAAUAUGGAAGAUGGGUUCUCAGCAUCAGAUGGAGGAGAUGUUCCAUCAAGAAAUGAAAAUCUUUGAGUAUACUCAUACGUACUGUGAAGCAACAGACUAGAGGAACCAGAGCUCCUAGUGGUGUACAAAUGACAGAUGGAAUUUCUGACAACUUCCUGGAGGCAUUUAUAAAACUUCCGCCAACCACGGUACUGCAGUCUCCAGAUUCUUGUUCUCAGACCCCUGUAUCUACUAUUACACAGUCACAUUAGCACAGUAGUCCUGCAUCUCAUGUUCUACAAGUAAUUAAAAAAAAAACGUUAUGGGUAUGAACACCUUCUUCCAAGGUCCUCACCUUCAGGAUCCAUAUAAUGUACAUCUAUCUGUACGAGACUGCUGAGAGAGAGAGAGAGUGAUAUGGCAUGUGUUCAGUUGCUAACAGUAUGUUGCUGACAAUCUACUAUUUAUCUCAUUUUCUGAUGCAACUAUCAUCACUAUAAAACAUCAGAAUAUCUACAGGAAAUUAGCUCUUAAAUGAAGAACAUAUGGAUCAAACUGAAUCCAGACAAGACCAAAGUGAUGCUUCUUUGCAAAGGGAAACACAUUGAAGACCUCCACCUUUUCAUGAUAGGAAACAGCCAUUCUUUCCACAGUUGGAUGGAAAUUCUAGGUUCUCUUUGACUCCUGAGCAUAUGCUUCCAAAAAUAUAUUAUUUCUUCUCUAUCUUGUCCUUUCUCCCCCUCAGAGAGAACUGGGCUGGUAUGGUCAAUGUAUCAGGCACCUACAGACUAAAUUACCAUACUCCUCUGUAAGUGAAAAGAAAUCAAAAGACAAAGCACAGCAUCCACUUGAUAAAAUAUGCUGUUUCCCAUUUUCUGCUUGGUUGUAACUCCCAGAAGCAUUUCUACUUUGCCUUGUCGCUGGUUCUUCCAAUGCCCAUUGUAAACUUUGAUCCUAAUUGUUGUUGUGUUUGAGGCAACAUCAUGAAGAAAAUAGGACCAAAGCCUACACCAACUGUUCUUUUUUGCAUUAAAGUACCUGGAUGUUGAGCACAAAGCAUUCUUUAUUAAGUGGAUCUAGCUAUAGCAAGCUACAUGGACUGAGAAGGACAAAAACUGAAGGAGAAAACUGUUCGAUCGAAGAAACCAAUCUGUCUGCCCACAACUUGUGUGCCAGCUGGAUCUGUAAGACUUGUGUAAAGAGUGCUCACAAAUCAGCAACAGAAGAUUCUUUCUGCCUACUAUCACUGCCAAAAUGUACAACGUGAAGCAAGAUGAAAAGUCUGGUUAACAACAUUUUGAAAAGGAGGCAAUGGCUGAUUAGCAUGUAGACAAAAAGGAACAGUGAAUGAGCAUCAGAAUAACAUAGCUCCUGAAUUCCUGGCAAACAAAAGAGGCUUACACAAUUGUGGCAACUGGGCCCGUGUAUAGAACUCACCAUGAAACUGAAGAAAAUGAGAGUUUUCUACAUAGUCUUUAGGAGGGAAAAAAAAAAGAAAGAAAAAAAAAAAGUGAGAGAAAAGAGUAUUGCUAGAAAUAGUGUUGGGAAGUAACGGAGGCCCAAGACAAAACUGUAGAGGAAAACUGAGGCUUUCUAUUCUUGUGUUUCUUCAAGAAAUAGGAGCAUCUUUGGGACUACUCUAAUAAAAAAUCUAAAACAAAAGUGAGAACAGACAUUAACAUUAGAAAGCUAAUGGCAUAUUAACUUUGAAAAUAUUAAGAUUCCCUAAUUCAAGAGAAAUUAAACCCAGAAAAAAAAUGUUUUCAAAUAGCAAGAGCAGCUAAACAGAACGUAUCCAGAGGAAAGAAUAAAAUAACAACACCCAUUAGUGAAAAAUAAAUAUCCAGUCUGAACCGAAAGAACUUAAGGAGGACAAGCACACUCAAGAAUAAAGAAAGAUCUGAUGUAUGUACUCUCAAUAAGCAGCAUAACCUUCAAAACAAAUGGGAACUUUCAGAACAAGAAAAAAGAAUGCUCUUCCCAUUGAAAAAUCUGCAAAAGCCAUAAGGAAAAGUGCCUGUUUACACUGAUGUCUCAGCAGAGAGAAAGGAAGAAUAAGCCAUACAUGCAGUAACAGAAAAUACACUGAUAAAAAUGAAGAGACAAAUAUUUACAAUGCAUUUUUUUCAUUAAAAGAUGUUGUUGGAUGCUCUAAAGAAAAUUUACAGAAAUUCAGUCUUCAUACAUGAAGUUAUUGCAUUAGAAACAUAUUUCAGUUCAUACUGUCCAGCAGCAGUCAAAAAACACCAAUAUACAACUGGAAACAGACCUUACCCUUAUUCUCUGGUAUCUCUCCAUUGAUAGUCUGAAGACUAUGUAAUGAUCAUGCUGUCAGUGGAAAUCGUAGCAAGGCAUCAAGUGGCUAUACAGUCCUGACAAAUAUGGGAUAAUCUACAUCUCUAUCAUUCCUAAAACAUAUUAAUGUAAUAAAAAAAGUACAAGCUGGAAUUAAAAGCAUUAGAUGACCUAAACGGAGCAAAUUACUACAUCAUGAGUACAAUUGUUCAUACCACUGAAGUAAAGUGGAGAGCACUGUUCGUGCGAAAUAAUCAAGGUGUGAUUUUAAUUGAUUACACUAUUUCUUGUGAGCACAUUAUACAUGUUUAUAAUUUAUUCUAUUGCACAAAAUUAUUUAUUAAAAGAGAAUACGUGAAUGCUAUCUGCAUUUUCUUUAAGAAAUUGAGAAUAUUAAUUUUUUUUCUGCUAGUAUAACAGUAUAGAAAGUAUGACUUUAAACUAAAGGUGUUAGUAUCGUUAAUGUUCAGUCUGUUUUGCAGAGUUGCAGCAACCCAGUGAAAAUCAGCCAUGAAGGUGGUAAAAGCCCAGCACUUCCUCAUGCAAAUCUGACGACAAUACUGUAAUAUAUUAUGCUUCUGCUCUUAAAUAAUGCUUGCAACUUUUAACAUUUCUGCACUCCAGCUCUUGCAAUGCUAAUAGCACCAUUCAGCAGAUGAGUGAGAGGAGAACAGAUUCUGGCUGUUUGUCAUGUUCAUGGCUUUCUAAAUCAGCAGAUGGUACAACAAAACAGACAGUUUCCUCAUCUGCUGUGUUCUCUGUUCAUGUACAAUGUGUCUCAGAAAUGUUUACUAAGGCCUCAGUCUGUUCAUGAGACGUCAGGAGAAGCGUUUGCAAUCCCCUUAUCAUGUUCCUGAACCAAUCACAUUAGCAAUGCAUCUCUUCACUCGUAUAAGAAAUCAAACUUCAUGAUACUAGUCUGAAGUGGGAAAAAAAUCUCUUGAACUUCACUGCUAUGAAGCUAUGAAACCACACUGUCAUUCAGUUGUGUGAUAUCAGAGAUACUCCGUGCCUCAGUUUUUCCAUCCUCCUUAAAAUUUACUGAGUGAAAAGCCCCAUAAAGCUCACCAAGUUAUUUGGAAAGACACUCCAGAAAUCUCUCAAGUGGUUGUUUAUCACUAGGACACUUAAUGGUUAAGCACUGCAUCUAGUUGUAGAAGUAUCUGUAUAUUGGAUCCCUUCACUGAGUGCCAGGCACCUAUUUAUCCCCAUAAAUAGCAUAAGCAACAGUAGCUGUUUACAUCUUGUUGACUUAAAGUUUACAGCUUCUUCAGCCAUGAGAUUCACAUACAUGAUAUCAUGUUUCUGUAUUUGCUCUUAAAGACAGAGCAAUCCAAACCAGGAAGUACAAUUAAAGGAUUUGAUACGUUCAGGAAAAUUGAAGCAUGAAGUUUCCUAUUCAGACCAUGUAACAUAAAUGCCUGAGGAUAUCUUCUAGAGAGCUACUGUCAGAGAAAUUUUAUAUUUUCCCUGAUUGGUUUUUCGUCUCAGAGUGCAGUCAUUUAACUGUCAGUUGGAGUUAAAGAAAAUGUCCUGGCCUCUAGAUAAUCAUGGUGUAGCAAAACUUUCAGCAGUCUGAAGGUAGAGUUUGCCAUUCCCAACCACAUGUCUAGCCAUCUCUGGCUCCAAAAGGAGCUCUUUUUACAUUGGUCUUUAUUUGCUAGAUUUUCUAGAUAAAAAAUAUGCAGCAGGGAUUUAUUAUUGUUUGUGAAUAAAAUGCCUAAGAUAUCCCAGGGUAAUUACAUGGAAAGAUAAUGAUCAUCUUUA
rnacentral:lncRNA from 1 species